UGGCGGCCGUAGCGCGGUGGUCCCACCUGACCCCAUGCCGAACUCAGAAGUGAAACGCCGUAGCGCCGAUGGUAGUGUGGGGUCUCCCCAUGCGAGAGUAGGGAACUGCCAGGCAU
rnacentral:rRNA from 1 species